rnacentral:rRNA from 1 species
ACUUAAUUCAACAUCGAGGUCGCAAACCUAAUUAUUAAUAAGAACUUGUCAAUUAAAUAACGCUGUUAACCCUAGAGUAACUUUAAAACAAAAAAAUUAUUAUUUUAUACAAACAAAUAACUUUUUGCAAAAAUUCUUUUUUCACCUAUUACCCCAAUAAAAAAAUUCUUUACUUAAAAAGCUUCUAGGGUCUUCUCGUCCCAAAGAUAAAUAAAAGCAUUUUUACUUUUAAUUUAAAUUCAAAUUUAUUAAAUAAAACACUCCUAUCAGUAUCUACCCUUCAUCCCAGUCUACAAUUAAUAAA